UACGAAGGGGGCUAGCGUUGCUCGGAAUCACUGGGCGUAAAGGGUGCGUAGGCGGGUCUUUAAGUCAGGGGUGAAAUCCUGGAGCUCAACUCCAGAACUGCCUUUGAUACUGAAGAUCUUGAGUUCGGGAGAGGUGAGUGGAACUGCGAGUGUAGAGGUGAAAUUCGUAGAUAUUCGCAAGAACACCAGUGGCGAAGGCGGCUCACUGGCCCGGUACUGACGCUGAGGCACGAAAGCUAGGGGAGCAAACAGG
rnacentral:rRNA from 1 species